GCCGGGGCGUCCCCCGCGGGAGCCCGCAGCCACCCGGGACGCGCAUCCAGACGUGGCGCUUCGGACCGGGCACGCUGCGCCCGGGGGCUCGGCGGACCCCGCGUAGCCGCCGCUUCGGAGCUUGUGCGGCGCGGGCUGGCCAGCGGGGCGGCCAGGGCCCGGCCCGCCUCCCCAGCGCCCGCCCGGCUUCUCCCCCUGGCGGUGGGAGCCUCGGCGGCCGCUGGCGACACUAGGCGCACUGAAGCCCGAGCCGAGCCGAGCCCGAGCCGCCGCCGCCGCCGCCGCUGCUGCGCACCGCUCCCGGGCUCCCUCCCAGCGCGCCGGCCGGGGUGUGGGGGGCGGCGGGCCGGAGGGGCGAGGGCGGGCCAGGGGGCGCACACGGGGGUUGGCGCGGAAGACAGGACCCUCAGCCUCGAGGGAGCCCCUAGGUGACCAGGCAAAAUGGCAGUUCCUUCCAGCUGGUCCUCAGAUGGGCACAUCUAUUAGCCUCUGCUCUUGUAAGAAGUUAGCUGCAGAACCCACAUGUGAAUCCUUGUAGGACUCUGGAGAAGAUCAAAUGGGAGCUUAGAUGUGGAAGCUCUUUGGAAACCAAGAAACACUCUGAAAAUGAAAAGGGUGGAAGAGUAAACUGUUCCUGUUUCUCCAUCUUGACAGGAAGCAGAAGUUCUCCUUAGCUGAUUUUUCUUCUUGCCUUAUACUGGGUUCUUUAACACCAGAACAAAAAUAAAUAAAUAAAAGAAUCUUCCAGAAAUUCAUGAAGAGACUUCAGGUCAGGAAAGCCUGAACUUUCUCAUCCAACACCCGUUCAAGUCGGAGGAUGCUGAUUAAUUCAUGAUGGAAAGGUAUCAAUUUCACAGCCCAGACCUCUACAUUCUUGAAAUGCUCUUCUCAUGGGAGACAUUAAAUAAGCUUUGAAUUAACUGAGACCUCUGUGGAUUCUAUAACUCAAAGACCCAGGCUGACGGCUGGUGGAAUAGCUACCAUCUCAAACAUGGCGUGAUGCUGCAUCAGAGAGAAAAAUAAGCUCUUGCAUUGACAAUGAAAUGUCUACCCUGUAGUGACUUGUGCUUACUUCCACUCACAAGUGAUUGCCCAGAGCUACUUACCUGGCUCCAAUCUACCACUGGGUGUGUACUUGCAAUCUACCAUGUACCUAGAAGAUGAGAGAAACAAAUUAUUAAUGAUGACCACACCCCAAUACUAACAACAAUUGCAGAAGAAUCAAUGACUUAAACAAAAAUGUGGCCAUUGAAGGAAUAGAAAAUAUAGUGAGUUUAGUGUAAAUUUAAAAGUGAUUUAUAAGUAACAUACAAAAUCCAGAAACUAUAAGAAAACAGAUUCACAAAUAUAAAUAUAUAAAGCUUUAAAAAAGUUUAAUGUAACAAAAAUGGCAUAAAAGGAGUCAAAAGUUUUUAAAAAAUAUGUUAAUGCAGUAGAUUAGGUGCUAAUUUUCUUAAUAUACUAAUAACUCAAUAAGAGAAAUUUUGUAUCUAGAAGAAAAUGAACAUGGAAAUAGGCAAUUCACAGAUAAUGGCAUUCAUCUGGCGAAUAAAAAAAUGUGUGACAUUCAGAAUAAAAUAAAAAUGAAAUACUGGUUUUCAGCCAUCACUUGAGCAAAACUGCAAAGAUACAAUGAGACUCAGGCAUUCCCAUAUACUGUGGAUGGGAGGGCAAAGACCUUCAACCUCUAAUUUUAUUUCUAUUUUUAAACAUGUAUGUUAAAAUUUUAAAUGCUAAUGUCCUCUUGACCCAAUAAUCUUAUGUCUAAGAUUUGAAUCUGGAGAUAAACUUGAACAAAUGCAUCUAGAUUUAUGUAUAAGUAUUAAUAUAGUUUAGAUGUGUGUUCCCACCCAAAUCUCAUAUUGAAAUGUAAUCCCCAGUGUUGGAGGUGGGUCCUGGUGUGAGGUGAUUGGAUUAUGGGGGUGAAUUUCUCAGGAAUGGUUUAACAUCAUCCCCUACGGCCCUGUCCUUGCAUAGUGAGGUGAGUUCUUCUGAGAUCUGGUCAUUUAAAGUGUGCAGCACCUCCCCGCCUCACUCUCUCUUGCUCCUGCUUUUGCUAUGUGAUGUGUGAGCUACUGCUGUGCCUUACACCAUGAUUUGAAGCUCCCUGAGGCCUCCCCAGAAGGAGAUGCUGCCAUGCUUCCUGUACAGCCUGCAGAAUUGUGAGGCAAUUAAACCUCGUUUCUUUA
ensembl:lncRNA SATB1-AS1 SATB1 antisense RNA 1